GAUGAACGCUAGCUACAGGCUUAACACAUGCAAGUAGAACGCUGAAGAGAGGAGCUUGCUCUUCUUGGAUGGGUUGCGAACGGGUGAGUAACGCGUAGGUAACCUGCCUUGUAGCGGGGGAUAACUAUUGGAAACGAUAGCUAAUACCGCAUAACAAUGGAUGACACAUGUCAUUUAUUUGAAAGGGGCAAUUGCUCCACUACAAGAUGGACCUGCGUUGUAUUAGCCAGUAGGUGAGGUAAUGGCUCACCUAGGCGACGAUACAUAGCCGACCUGAGAGGGUGAUCGGGCCACACUGGGACUGAGACACGGCCCAGACUCCUACGGGAGCAGCAGUAGGGAAUCUUCGGCAAUGGGGGCAACCCUGACCGAGCAACGCCGCGUGAGUGAAG
rnacentral:rRNA from 1 species